rnacentral:rRNA from 1 species
UACGGAGGAUGCAAGCGUUAUCCGGAAUGAUUGGGCGUAAAGGGUCCGCAGGUGGCAGUGUAAGUCUGCUGUCAAAGAAUGAGGCUUAACCUCAUCAAGGCAGUGGAAACUACACAGCUAGAGUACGGUCGGGGUAGAAGGAAUUCCUGGUGUAGCGGUGAAAUGCGUAGAGAUCCGGAAGAACACCGGUGGCGAAGGCGGCCUGCUGGGACAUUGCUGACGCUGAGGCGCGACAGCGUGGGGAGCAAACAGG